rnacentral:rRNA from 1 species
UACAGGGGGUGCAAACGUUGCUCGGAAUCAUUGGGCGUAAAGCGCACGUAGGCGGUCUGUUAUGUCGGAUGUGAAAGCCCUUGGCUCAACCGUGGAAGUGCAUCCGAAACUGCAUCGCUGGAGUCUCGGAGAGGAAGGUGGAAUGCUUGGUGUAGAGGUGAAAUUCGUAGAUAUCAAGCAGAACACCUGCGGCGAAGGCGGCCUUCUGGACGAUGACUGACGCUGAGACGCGAAAGCGUGGGGAGCAAACAGG